rnacentral:rRNA from 1 species
UACGGAGGGGCUAGCGUUGUUCGGAAUUACUGGGCGUAAAGCGCACGUAGGCGGCUUUGUAAGUUAGAGGUGAAAGCCCGGAGCUCAACUCCGGAAUUGCCUUUAAGACUGCAUCGCUAGAAUUGUGGAGAGGUAAGUGGAAUUCCGAGUGUAGAGGUGAAAUUCGUAGAUAUUCGGAAGAACACCAGUGGCGAAGGCGACUUACUGGACACAUAUUGACGCUGAGG